rnacentral:rRNA from 1 species
UACGUAGGGUGCAAGCGUUGUCCGGAAUUAUUGGGCGUAAAGAGCUCGUAGGUGGUCUGUUGCGUCGGUUGUGAAAACCCGGGGCUUAACUCCGGGCCUGCAGUCGAUACGGGCAGACUAGAGUUCGGCAGGGGAGACUGGAAUUCCUGGUGUAGCGGUGAAAUGCGCAGAUAUCAGGAGGAACACCGAUGGCGAAGGCAGCCUCCUGGGCCAAUACUGACGCUCAUGCACGAAAGCGUGGGGAGCAAACAGG